CCUGAAUCUACAGUCUAAGGUACACACACUCAAUGUUUGUGGGCUGCCGAAAGGACUUGAAGUUCAAGUGGGAAGGAGGCCUGAUUACCAUGCAGUGAGAUGAAGUUAUGGCAAGUCGGGAUGAAGAAGACACCCGGACUGCUGGGUGAGAAGAUGAGGAAUCUCUGAUGCUCAAGAUGCAGAAGAAAUUUUAGAAUGAUUGCAGUGACUGAAAAAAGUAGUAGCUUAAAGCAAGCAGAGUGAAGAUUUCCUGUCUGCAGUACUGCAGCUAUGCAACCCACAAUCUCAUCAGUGCCAAUGCACUUCAUUGGGUCUGCUGUACUGUAGUUCCAUGCUAUCCAAGUGCUAGAUGAAUGACAGAGCUCUAUCAAUGCAUAUUCAGCUGCAGACACACUGCAGCGCCAACAAUAUCAGCUCUGCUCAAUCCAAGCUUUCAUAAAGCACUAACACUGCAUCAUUUCACUGCUUAACGUCUUCCUGGCAUCUUUGCCUAUUCUAAAGGCUGUUUUACACUGGCUAAAAAAGAGAGAGGAAAAUCUCAAUGUCAU